rnacentral:rRNA from 1 species
AUGGGUGGUGGUUUAUCGCUCGUUCAGCUGGGCGGCCAUUUGAUGCUCAUUCGCACUUUGAAGCACUCCUCUAGUUUGAAGGAUAGAUACCUUCCUGGGGUCAAGUGCAUCAUAACUCACCUACUACCAUAUAACUGGAAUUACCGAUGCAAGUCGAAGAAGGAUUGGCCGGUGCUGCCGGCUGGCGUCAAGUUCGAUCCCACGGAUCAGGAGUUGAUCGAGCACCUCGAGGCCAAAGUGAGUGCUGACAGCGCAAGAUCUCACCCUCUCAUCGAUUUGUUCAUACCAACCAUCGACAGCGAGCACGGCAUAUGCUACACCCAACCUGAGAAACUUCCAGGUAUCACACAGAGUGGCCUAAGGAAGCAUAUCUUCCAGCGCAAUUCCAGGGCGUUCAAAAGGGGCACGUGGACGCGUCGCAAGAUACAGUCGGAGUGCGGCAUGCACGCGGUGUGGCACAAGACCGGAAAUACCUUGCCGGUGAUGGUCAACGACCGCACCAACAAGAACUUCGACUAG